CCAGAUUAGGCCUCAUGACUGCUGUCCAAACCACAUCAAGAGAUCCAAAGCUGCAUCCUAAUAUUAGUGAUGGGAUAUGUUAUUGGGUUCUGGUUUCUUUAGGGUACUGUCUAUUCAGCCACACCAACCUCACGGUUCUAUAAUGUCUGUGUUUCAGGCUUCAUUGAGUCAGUGUGUGUGUGUGUAGUUCAAAUGAAAGCAGAAUGGGAAAACCGAAGUAACCCGUGAACAUGUCAGAAGCUGUAUCGUGACUCUGUUCACUUCCUCUUCCUCGUCCUUUCGAGUGAGUGAGUGAGUGAGUGAGUGUGAGAGUGUGAGAGAGAGAGGGAGAUACAGCGAUACACACAGCGAAAUCAUAUGAAAGGUGCUAAGGCCGGAAGUGUUCGGAAAGAGGAAGUUGAGAGUUGUGAGUCAGAGACAAGAAAUUGGUGUGAAGACAGAGAUACACUCAGAGAAACAAGGCAUGAACAAAUUAGAGUAAGUAUGGUGAAGUGGAAAAAAGGACAGAGGUAAAAAACAAACAACGGAUGAAACUGAACUGGAAAACACAACAAAAAGGCAACAAGUGAAGAGGAAAGGAGAAGGCUGAACGUUGCGACAGAUGACAGAGUCGGAUAUGAGAAAACGCCGUGUCGGCACUCUUCUGGUCCUCAUGCUGAUACAGACAGGCAUGACAGACAGUGGGAUUUCUGUAUCUCACAAAUGGCAUGGAGAUUACCUAUCUAUCACCUGUCGUCUCAUGGGGGACAAAGACACUGUUUCUCAGAUCAACUGGGAGAUGACCAGCAGUUCGAACCACACCACCACCAGAUUGAAACUGGGCAUCUUCCACCCCGUGUUUGGUACCUACGUGUUCCCGAAGUACAACGAUACUGUGGAGAUCCAGGGUAACGCCUCCAGCGGCCAUUACACGCUCAGGCUGAAAGGUAGCACUGUGUUGGAGGAGAAUCAGUUCUGCUGUAAAUUCAUGACCUUUCCCUCUGGAGGACUGGAGCAGUGUACAAAUACCAGGAUUAAUGAAAGCACAGAGGAGGCCAAGGUGUCAGAAGGCCCACAGGGUUUACUAGAGGAGAGACAAGUGGAGCAGUGGGCUCUGCUAGUAAUGGGACCUACCAUCUGUCUCCUCAGUAUCGCAAUCUCUCUCUACUACUGCUUGAAGUAUUGCUGCAGACACUGCUGCCGCAGGAGGCGAUUGUUCGAGGUGGAGACUUAUCUGACAGACCAGCACACAGACUCGGAGGAGGUCACAGAGGAGCCACCCCAUCAACCCCCCCUUCCCUCACCUCCUCCCCUCCAGCUCCAGGGUUUUGACCCCUCUAAGCUGUACACUAAGAUCAAGCAGGAUCUGCUGUAUGGACGACUGUGGAAGGCCUACCAGGGGACAGCUAAGGCCUGGGACCCCACAACACAGCAGGGACCACACCAGCAAGGGCCACAACAAGGGGCAGAACUAGGGCCACAAAAGGUCUAUUUUCUUCUGGGGGAUCAUCGGGUGUCACAGAGAGAGGAACCAGAAGAACCAGAACUAGAACCUAAUCUAGAACAAGAACAAGACCCUCAACCAACCCUUGAAGGAACCGUGGAACCACAGACUGAGCCUGAACCUAUCCAUCCAUUAGCCCUGGAACCUGGAACACAGAUGGAGGUUCAAGAACCAGAAUGUAAUUUAGAACUAGAACCCAACUUCCCAUCAACCCUUUCUGCACGGAGGGGGGAACUGGAAUCAGACAUAGGAACAGAGAAAGAGGAAAUUGAAGAAACCAGAGACUAACCCUUCAGCGAGGAGGUUCAUGAAGGGAAGGUGUGUUGUGUUGUUGUGUGUGUGUGCGGGCCGUGCGUGUGUGCGUGUGUACGUGUGUGUUGGGAGGAAUAAUGCACUGUUGACAUUGGGUGAAUAACCCUGACCUCCUAAGGUUAGCUGUCAAUCAAUACGAUUAAUAAUUAUUGCCCCAGUGGGAAAUUUGUAGUGAAAAUUAAACUCACAGGUAAUCGCCAUGGUUUUUUGUUUACUGUGAACAUCGUACAUGUGGUUAGACGUCUCGGCCAUCACUCAGACGUUUCUCUCUCUCACACACACACACACACACACAGACAGACAGACAGACAGACAGACAGACAGACAGACAGACAGACAGACAGACAGACAGACAGACAGAGACAGACAGACAGACAGACAGACAGACAGACACCACACACACACUGGUCAAUGGGGUUUGAAGUCUCGGCCAUCGCUCAGAUGUUUCUCACAUUUGAGCUCACAACAGUGUGGCAUACAGUAACUGUAUGAUGUGCGGUGUGAAUAGAACAUUAUGCUUUUGAAUAUAGUAAUGGGUUGAAUGACCUUUAGAUUCUAAAAAAGAGCUUUUAUAGCCAACUUUAUAGCCAACACUGUAAGGAACAAGACAGUGAGUGAUUUUUAUUUUGUGUAUCUGGUUUUGUGAUUGCAAUUUCUGUAUAUAAUGUUUAUUUCUUUGUUUCAAUUAAAAAUCAGACUAGCAAAAGUGUUUGAGUCCUUCACUUGAUAUCUAGAAUAUGCCUGCUUUUUUUGGGGGGCCACUGGGGGACGACACAAGACCAUUUAUUCACUAACCUCAGUCCCAGGAAAUUUAGCACAACGCAUACGUCAACGAUUCAUAGUUGGCCUUAGUGGGAGU
rnacentral:lncRNA from 1 species